rnacentral:tRNA from 4 species
GGGCUCGUGGCUCAGCUUGGAUAGAGUGAGUGCUUGCGGAGCAUUAGGUCACCGGUUCAAAUCCGGUCGGGCCCG